rnacentral:lncRNA from 1 species
AUGAUAUUCCGGGCACCGGGGCUGUUUUAUCAAGGGUUCAAGCUUUUAGUCCCAUCAAAUGCCGCAAGACUCUCUCCGCUCUCUGUGAAUGGACGACAAUGGAGUGCCUUUUUAACGCUGACAGUGUGUCCCGGUCCUUGGUAUCUCACAGGUAGGCUCAUGUUAUUUUUACUCCCCCCUCUAACUUCCCCUGAAUACGACCCUUUUAUGUUUUACACACACCACACACACAUGCUCACGCAUACACUUACACAGUCACACUAACACACGGUCAGAGUGCUUGUGCUGUUUAUUCUCCCGGUAAUGAUGUCAUUGCGAUAGUGGAGGAGAGCAAAUGUCUCCUGAUUCCUCCAUUUAACGGCUGGCUGAAUUGGCUGAUAAUGAUAGCAUUGGCGUCUCCAGCCUUACAGACAGAUCAGACCCUGUGAAUUAGCAGCUACUAACCAGAGAGAGAGAGAGAGAGAGAGAGAGAGAGAGAGAGAGCGAGAGAAGAGAGAUGGCAGUACGGAGUAGGAAGGAGGGAGAGAGAGAGAGAGAGAGAGAGAUGUGAAAGAGAGAGAGGGUGAUGUAUUUUAACAUAUCUGUGCUGUGCUCUUGAACAGGCUGUGAGAGAUCUGUGUGUGGCAGUGCUGAUAACUGCCGCUUGAUAUCAGUCAGGGACAUGACCGCCUGUUUGCAAAGCUCUUUAAUGCCUCUGCACGUCUGUCCUGCUACUUUGAACUGAAUCAUGGUCACAUCAGGGCUGUAUCGCUCAAUAUCUGACCUUAAUAUUGGAAUUUCUUUCAGUAGAAUAAAAUAAUAAUUAUUUUUUAAUGUUAUGUUUAAUGUUAUAUUUUUUAAAUGAAUGAUUGUUAAUGAGCUCCAUUUUAUAAAGACACUAAGCAUCUUUUACUUAUUUUCUCAGUGCUUUAGUUGACAUUUUACAGUUUUAUUUUCUAAAUAUGAAUGCAACUUUCACCCAAAAGGCUCUUUGUAAAUAUUUAGUGACUUUAAACAUGCAACCUAUUAAAACGCAAUUUUCCCCUCCUCUAAAAGCUCCAAUAGGGUUUUACAGUUUUUUCUGGUGAUCUUAAAGUAAAUAAAUAGGCCCGGAUGCUAAUAAGCGUUUCAGGCUUUGAACACAUGCCCCUCUGUGACUGUCAACCGCCCUGCACCCUUCUAGCCAUACCAGCACUGCCACAUCUUCAGACCCUUAGUGUCAUAUGAGUAUGCAGGCCCCCCCAACCCCCCCCCCCCGCCACUGGUUGUAUUAUUAUUAUAAUUAUUAUUAUUAUUAUUAUUAUUAUUAUUAUUAUUGUGAUUAUUAUUAUAAAUAAUAGUAUUUAUCUGUGUCUUUUUUUUAUACAAAAAGUUUCACACAGAUUCUUCCCCCCUUUAAUUUAAAUGUUUGAAUAUCAGUGAAAUAGUAUAUUAUAAGAUCAUAAAAGCAUCAGUGGUGUGUUACUGUGUUACAGGGUAUACCUACUUUUGUAUGGAAAUAAUUGCAUUGUUUAAAUCCUGGAGACAUAAAUACACAUACAAUCAGCCACCUGGUUGCUUUGUUUGUAGAGGGCUGUCAGUCCUGUGAGAAGCACUUUAAGUAACUCUUGCUGAAGGUGAGAGUUAAACAGUAUUUACUUUGGGGAAUUUGCCUUUAUUUAUCUGCAUUAAUACAGAGGUGAAUUUUAAAGGGGCUCUCAGAGAGAAUUCCCCCGAUGCUCAGCUUACUUUACACACCUUUUAAGUCUUUUAAGAUGUGUUUCUCCCCUCCUGCUGACACUUACCCAUAACACAUCUCCCACAAUCUCCGCCGGUUUUCACAAAUCAGCUUCUUUUCCCUCUCCCCCUUUCUUUUCUGUUAUUGUUUUUGUUCUCUCGCCUGCUCCCUUUUUUCAGUCUUGAUCACGAAGUGUUGUUGUCUGUCUCUUAAGUUGCCCGUUUCAUCUCUUUUGUUAUGGCGUCUGUGCCAAUCGUUGUAAUUGGGAGAAAGCUAAGUUAAGUGAGUGAAGGAAAAAGUGUGGGGUAACUUGCCUUGUUGCUCUUCCCCACGUUUUUGUAAAUAAGGCUGUCAGUAUAGAUGAGGCUGUGGUAAUGUGGACGAUCCAAUCCACUCCAAACCCACAGGACUGGAGGCUGAAACAAAAAAAUGGAAGGCAUGUUCAGAAAGGACAGCUUAGAGUUCAGUUACACUUCUGGAAGUUUUUAUGCAUGACUUCUUUGCAUCAGAUCCACCGCCAGCAUCCUUCUUAACUUCACGAGGUGAGGUGAACGAGUUGACACUCAAGAGUUGACCUGUUUAUUGUAGGAAAAUGCAUUUUUGAAGUUAAAAAAUUCUGAACAUUAGUGUAUGUAAGUGUAUGUUUACAGCAAAUCUUUUGUGUCUGGACUUUUCUUGGGGAAAGAAGAUGGCUUUUUGUUUCCUGCUUGCAUUUGAAAGCAUGCUGUUAAUUUUACAUAAACGGUGUAAAAUAAAUUUCCUUGUGUUUUUUUAAAUAUAAACACGAUAUUAAUAGUUUCGACUUUUAUACAUAAAAUGUGGGUUGAAUUUCACUAAGAUGCUUAGGGGUGAAUUAAUUUCAUGACGCUAAUCAGAACGUUAUGGAUAUCGGCUGUUUCAGAGCGAGAGCGACUUUCAUAACAAGUCGAGCCGGUGAUGAUGUGAUUUGCGCAGAGGAAGGGGCCUGUGGUCUGCUGUUGAUCAUUAACACUUUUCCUGUAUGUGUGGCCCCCUCAUCAGUCGGCUAAAAGAUCAUCUCUGUUUAAAUUUGCAUGAUGAUGGUACUGUGACCAGUCAUCGUUAGAUCAACUAACUAGAGAGGCUUAAGGUUGGGCAGAGAAGAUUCAUGAUCCCCCCCUUCCCCGAUCUCCCUCUCUCCAUCGUGGGAGGUCCCCUUUAAAGUGCAAACCUCAGCCCCCCUCUCAUCCUGCGUCUCCAGGAAUGAUGAUCCGACGCGAUCCUCUUUCGGCGCGAGCCGAAUGUGGAAGCUAUGGAAGAUUUUCUCCUUGGUUUAUAUAUUUUUCUUCCUCUCUCUCGCUCUCUCUCCCCUCAGUCUCUCUUAGCCCUCACUCAGCCCCGCUGAUUGCCGUAGCCUCAGGGCUCUCCGGCGCACACUACAUCCCUGUGAUUAUAUUAAUGGCCUCCCGCGCUGGGUUUGGAGGCUGAGGACGGCUGUGGUAAUGCGAAGCAUCGCCAAGGAACGGUUAAGGAGAUGGACCUCUGACCGCAGGGGGUCUCGGGAUCAAGGCCCAGGUGGGUCACUGCCUAGUUCCACGCUCCCCCUGGGCAGGCCACUUAACUUGCAACGCCUCAGUGAGUGCCCUAACCACAGCCGUAGCAGAGCGCACACGAGAGAAGGAGAGAAAGAGAAAUGUGAUGUGGGGUUUCUGUGUCUGCUGUGAAAAAGGGAAGUUAUGAGUGAGACAGAACAAAUCACACCCAGAGGCUUUUGGCUAAAACUCACAAAGCUGGCUAAUAAUUCUCCUCUGAGAAGUAUUGAUCUUUAUUUGUUAUUAUGUGACUUCUAGGCACUCUCGCAUGUUUAUUUGUCUUCAUUAGACUUGAACAGCACCUGCAGCAUUGUUACUCCAAAAUGGAGUGUGUGUAUUUGCGUUAUUGCAUACGAAAAUGUUUGUUUGCUCCCAUGCUAUGUGUCUGCGUGUUAGCGCCUUUAUUUGGGAGGACUUUGUUAUUUCUUUCCCUCUAAUUUAAGAUUUAUUGUGAAAUUGCUGUGUGUGUACAUGUGGGAAAUGCUGGCGUGUACUGAAUAUUUCGCCUACUGAUACGUGGAACGGGAUGUGUUCGUAUCCCAGAGAAGAACCGUAGGGAUCUGUCUUCCCUCGACUGGACGUUUGAUCAAGGCACACAGGGGAUACGGACCUCAUGCUCUCCCUCUGUUUCAUCCCCUCGCCUUGGCCGCCGGAUCCCUGCUUUUUCCACUUUUGUUGUCAGUAGUAAUCUCGCAAGUGAUCUUAAUUAUGGAGGCCGGGUCGGGUUCUUUCUCUACCGUCCAAAUGCACUUUAAUCAAACACUGUAGUCCAAGCUUAGGAAGAGAGAGAAAUAGCUGGAGAGAAGAGAGCAUCGGGGGACUGUGUAGAGGAAUAGAGCAGGUGUUCGAGAGGAGCUGGGAAGCUAAAGGUAAAAGAUAGCACCUGGAUUCUUACUUUCGGAGAAGG